rnacentral:rRNA from 1 species
GAUGAACGCUGGCUACAGGCUUAACACAUGCAAGUCGAGGGGAAACGACGGGGAAGCUUGCUUCCCCGGGCGUCGACCGGCGCACGGGUGAGUAACGCGUAUCCAACCUGCCUCUGACUGAGGGAUAACCCGUCGAAAGUCGGCCUAAUACCUCAUGGCAUCGUCUGCGGGCAUCCAACGACGAUUAAAGAUUUCAUCGGUCAGGGAUGGGGAUGCGUCUGAUUAGCUUGUUGGCGGGGUAACGGCCCACCAAGGCUACGAUCAGUAGGGGUUCUGAGAGGAAGGUCCCCCACAUGGGAACUGAGACACGGUCCAAACGCCUACGGGAGGCAGCAGUGAGGAAUAUUGGGCAAUGGGCGGGAGCCUGAACCAGCCAAGUAGAGUGCAGGAUGACGGCCCUAUGGGUUGUAAACUGCUUUUAUGCGGGGAUAAAGUGAGGGACGUGUCCUUCAUUGCAGGUACCGGAUGAAUAAGGACCGGCUAAUUCCGUG